AACGAACGCUGGCGGCAUGCCUAACACAUGCAAGUCGAACGAGACCUUCGGGUCUAGUGGCGCACGGGUGCGUAACGCGUGGGAACCUGCCUUUAGGUUCGGAAUAACUCAGAGAAAUUUGAGCUAAUACCGGAUGAUGUCUUCGGACCAAAGAUUUAUCGCCUUUAGAUGGGCCCGCGUUGGAUUAGCUAGUUGGUGGGGUAAAGGCCUACCAAGGCGACGAUCCAUAGCUGGUCUGAGAGGAUGAUCAGCCACACUGGGACUGAGACACGGCCCAGACUCCUACGGGAGGCAGCAGUGGGGAAUAUUGGACAAUGGGCGAAAGCCUGAUCCAGCAAUGCCGCGUGAGUGAUGAAGGCCUUAGGGUUGUAAAGCUCUUUUACCAGAGAUGAUAAUGACAGUAUCGGGAGAAUAAGCUCCGGCUAACUCCGUG
rnacentral:rRNA from 1 species